UCAGGAAACUCAUCUAAGGAAGUUUAAAGGUGAACGACUUGGUGCACAGCUACGGGAGCUUCACAAAGCUGGCUUUUAAAAGGAACUGUAAAAUAAGAAUAAGUGAGAAACAGUGUAACCUUAGACUAAUGUUUUGUUAAUAAAUUUCUGGCUAUGUAUGAUCUCAAUCUGUUAUUACAAUAAUAAUAGUGGAUAAUGAAGAGAACACGUACUUUGUUUAAUGUCCACCACAAAAUGUAUUAUAAAUAUUUUCCAUAUUGUAUGAGUUUAAGACAAUGCCAUUGGUUAGCUGAUGAUCCUUACAGGUUUAGCUCUAUCCCAUGAAUAUAAUAAGCAAUUAAAAUUGAUCAUAACAGAUGAUCUUUAAUAGAUUAUUCAUGGGAAAGCAUUAAACCUAUAGGAGUUGAAGCUAAUUAGGUUUGAUCCAGAUAGAGUAGAUCCAAUUACUUGGACCAAGAGCUCUUCACCAGCAUCAAGGCCUCCCCAAUCUUGGGAGCUUUUAACAGACGAGCAUGGAAUGUCAAAUAUGCUCAGUAGUUGUGUGCUAGAUAUAUUACUGUGUGGUUUACAUGUAUCCUACAAGACAUAUUCAUAGGUAAGGGUGAUCAAAUUAUAUUGACACGGUUAUGCUAUAGAGAUCAUAGAAGAUUGCUAGAGUACAUCGGUGAUUGUAGAGUUAUUUUUACAAGUACGUUUCCUUGAUGUUGGUGAGGGGCUCUUGAUUUAGGGAAUUGGAUCUGUGCUCCAGUUCCCCGAAUUAAGCCUGAAUGCCUUCCACAUCCCCCCCCCCCCAGGCGCUGUAUAAUCCUCCGGGUUUAGCGCUUCCCCCUUGAUUAUAAUAAUAAUAAUAAUUUACAAGUACGUAUUUGGGGUUUUGAAUAAGGGGUAUAUGUACAGUGGACCCCCGAGUUUUGUGAUUAAUCCGUUCCAGAGAGCCCACCGAAGGUCGAAAUUCACGAAACUCGAAACCAUUUUCCCCAUAAGAAUAAUGGAAAUAAAAUUAAUCCGUUCCAGACACCCAAAAAUAUUAAAAUAAAAUAUUUUUUUUCAAAUUAAAGAUUUACAUAAUGAAAAACAAUGAGAAAAUCAAGUACAUGCAUUUAAAAUAAAUAAUAUUACACUUACCUUUACUGAAGACUUCUGGGUGGAUGGAAGAUGGGAGGAGGUGAUAGGAGGAAGGUGGACACUAUUCAUUCAUUCAUUAGAGAUUCGCCAAUACUUCAUAUGGUGACCCAGCUGUGGCCCCCGGUUGGGGGUGUCGUUGGUGGACACUAUUGUUUGGAAGGAGAAUCUCCUUCCAUUAGGACUUUACGUAGCAAGUCCUUAUCUGGGGUUUCUUCUUUUAAUGCCACUGGGAUUAUUAUUAUUAUAAUCAAGGGGGAAGCGCUAAACCCGGAGGAUUAUACAGCGCCUGGGGGGGGGGGGGAUAUGUGGAAGGCAUUCAGGCUUAAUUCGGGGAACUGGAGCACAGAUCCAAUUCCCUAAAUCAAGAGCCCCUCACCAACAUCAAGGAACCUUCCUUGAGGGGAAUGCCACUGGGAACAACUCGAGUCUGGACCCCUGGCACGCAAAGUACCUAUCCAAAAAGGUCUUUUUCUGGCGUUUCUAAGAUUUCCCUGAAGUGGGACACAACACUGUCAUUGUACAUGUUGCAGAUACGGCUUGUUUCAGCUUGGUCAGGGUGAUACUUUGCAACUCAUUCCACAUAUGUGCUUAAUCACUGAAGAAGGCACCUCAUCCACUCCCUCUUCCUCCGAAGCAACUUCCUCGGCUGUGGUCUGAUGCUGUUCCAGUUGAAGCUCUUGCAGUUCGUCAGUGGUUAGCUCUUCCCUGUGGUCCUCCACCAACUCUACCACAUCCCCGUCACUCACUUUAUUUACCAAAGGGCUUGCACUAGCUUUCCUUGGGUCCAUGAUGACUUAUUUAGCAGUUGCAAACACAAAAAACAAUGGAUUAUUAUGAAAUGUAUGAACCCGCAGGGUGAUGGUCACGUGUUGGUAAACAAUGGCACACUGAGCGUGAAUGGCGUGGGAGACUGGCUUUGUGUGCGCGGUGACGGGCGGACGGGUACCGGACGGUCGCCGAAGCACGAGUUUUUUCACAAAACUCGAGGCCAAAUUUUUCCCCAAAAACUCGCUGAAGGUCGAAUUUCGCGAAAGUCGAGGCUGCCGAAACUCGGGGGUCCACUGAAUCUGUUUUGAGAAAGAGAUUAGAAUAAUCUUAUACUAGUAGGGUUCUUUGAUACUCAUAGUAUGGUUUUCAAUAAAGUUUAGAUUAUUGUAAUGUAGGGUUAGGGGUAUUUUUAGAAUUUUUGUUAUGUGCAUAUCAACCUUUUAGGACAAAUAUAUUUCAUUAUUUUGUAGCAUCUUUGUGGAUAAAAAGGCUUCAAGGAAGAAUAUUUGGAUUUCUUUCUGGAGCCAUUUGAAUAUUCCACUUUCCCUACCACCCCAUCUUUUCAAGUUUUCUUUUACCAAUAAGUAUAUUUUAUUACAUAAUAUGGUACACAAGAUUAAUAUAUUUAAACUGAAUCUGUGAGAAGUAAAAUAUAUUUUUGUCCCACAAAGUUUAUACCCAUAUUACAAUUUAAAUUUUAUUGAAAACUAUACAGAUCAGAAAGUGCUAUUAGUAUAGUAUAUGAUCCUUUUUUCAAAAGAUACACAUCUCAAAAAAAAUUGAUAAACAGUGUUAUUCUUUACCCAACAAAACUUACACUCCACUAAUUUAAAACCCCAGAUUCUCAUAAAAAAAUUACAGUCACCAAUAUAUUCUAGCUACCUUCUCUGUUCUCCAUAGCACAAUACAGUCAAUAUAAUUUUAUCAUCCUUAUGAAUAUUACUGUAAUUAUAAAAUGUAAACAAACUGGGGAACAAAAAUAUAGCAGCCUAGUAAAUAUAUAUCAGAUGCUCUCAAUACUAAUAUAACUAUAGAAAUGUUUUAUGUUGUAUUAAUUUUGGUAUAAUACACAUAUACACCAAGCUGAAUUACUGUGAUUUCACCAUUUUUUUUUUUUCACUUUCCACGGUCCAAAUUUUCUUAUAAACCACACUACACAUUGCUCUCAAACAUGACAUCUAUAAUACCUCUAGUCUCCUCCCUACAAUGUUCAAAGCCCAUGUAUUACACCCAUAUAAAAGUGCUUGUAACACUGGUACAUUCCCGUUUCUUCCUCCGUAGAUGAACUUAUACUAUACCAUUAUAAUAAUUGUCUGACACAGCAACAGCAUGGAACCUCAGUACAGAGAUCUACCACUCAUAUGUUCAUCCAACCUAAUAAUUUUUUUUUUUUUACUAACACAUUGGCCAUUUCCCACCAAGGCAAGGUGACCUGAAAAAGAACACUUCCAUCAUUCACUCCAUCACUGCCUUGCCAGAGACAUGCUUAUGCUAUAGUUAAAAAAACAGCAUACCAACACCCCUCCUUCAGAGCACAGGCACCAUACUUCCCACCUCCAAGUCUCAAGUUUGGCUAACUGGUUUCCCUGAAUCCCUUCAUAAAUUUUACUUUGCUCACACUCCAAUAGCACGUCAAGUCAUAAAAACCAUUUAUCUCCACUCGCUCCUAACACAGGUCCAGUUUGUCACGAUCUACUAACACCAGUUUGCCCCACCCACCUAUACCAUGGAAAUGGCACUGUAUGACCCUUAUGGGUUUAGCACCUGGUUAUAAUUAUAAUAUACCAUAGAAAAAGACACAAAUGCAAUAUAAUGCAAUUCUUCACUGAUUAAAUUUUGCCCACACAGUGGGCAAAACAUCACAAACAGAUCUGUUUGUGUCUUGAUAAGGUACACUGUGGGUGAAAUGUAGCCAAAAAAGGAUCACAUACUGCAUUUGUGUAUUUUUCCAUUGUGUUGGUAUUUUAUACCAUUUAUCUCCACCUAUAUUAUCUCCAACUGCUACACCUUACCUCUUUCUCCAGUAUACAAGCCUCUGUGCUCAUUGCUUUGUUUGAGGCAGUUACAGGACUGAACACCUAUCAAGGCUAAACAACUGAAUAUCUUAUCUUUCCAGCUGCAUUGUCUCCAGUUUAAAAGACUCCACCCACUGUAUUCAACUGAUGCAGCUUGCUGUGAAGGCAAAACAUUUCAACAAUAAAAGUACCCAAGUGUUUCCCAUGUCUUAUUCAUUAGCUUUUUGGCAUUAUACAGCAUACCCUUAAUUUUUUUUCAACAAACUGGCCGUAUCCCACUGAGUAAUUUAUACAGGAGAAAAGGUUACUAGCCCCUUGAUCCUGGCAUUUAAGUUUCCUCUUACAACACGCAUGGCUUACGGAGGAAGAAUUCUUUUCUACUUCCCCCAUACAUGUAAGAGAAAAUGAAGAACAAAAACCAGUAAGAAAAUAGAAGAAAACCCAAAUGGGUGUGUAAAUAUAUAUGUUUGUAUAUGCAUGUGUAGUGUGACCUAAGUGUAAGCAGAAGUAGCAACAUACCUGUUAUCCCAUGUAUCAUACCAUUAAUACAGCCUUUCCUCACUUAACAAUGGAGUUUCGUUCCAAAUACCACGUUAGUAAACAAAUUCAUCGCUAAACGAGGAGCAUACUAUAAUGGUAGUGGGUUUAUUUCAACCAUCUUUGAUAUUGCUUUAAUGUCACCCUUGCACCAUUUACGUAUAACAUUUUUAGUAUACGUAUUUUUAAAUGUUUAUACGGUAGUAUACUGUACUAUAUAUAUUGUAAUAAACAGAAAAUAGGAAAUCAGUUCUAAUAUACAUUAUUUAGGUAUGCAUACUGGUCAGAGAGCCCGUUGUAAGUCCGAGUCGUUGGUAAACGAGUACGUCACUAAGUGAGGAGAGGCUGUAUAUAUUUACCUACAGUGGAUAAAAAUUAGUUUGUAAUGAAGCUCUGAAAGGUAUGUAUAUAAUAAGACAGCUGUUAGUGGAAGAUGGCCAGCAUGGUUAAAAAAUGAACAAUGAAAAAGAAUAAGCCAAUUGUCUAAAAAUAUGACUUUGCAAAGAUUAAUAUCCUUCAGAAA